GCAUGCUGCUGCAGCCACACUUUCAACAAAACAACUUCUCCUGAUGCCUGGAUUUCAAUCUGGACCCAAUCCUGGACAAAAACCUCUUAAGCAAUCAGAACUCAAUGUUUCCCGGUUGAGUGUCAACUAGCUGUAAUCUGGAAGUUUCCAGGCUUUCUGGCUCUUCAAGACAGCUGUUAUUUCUCAUGAAACCACAGAGUGUGGAUUAUGCCCUGGCCAUAUCACCCACUGUCACAACCGCUGGGAGUCAGAAAUUGGUGAAUUCUCUUGAAUAGUUUCUGUACAACGUUCUGUCUCCCAUUUCUGUGCUGGCUCCAUACUAAAUGAACACUAUUUCCUUACUACAGCUAGAUGUGUCAAUUUUAUGUAAACUCAGCAGCCCUGGCCCUGGUCCAAGUGGAGCUUAAUCA
rnacentral:lncRNA from 1 species